GACGAACGCUGGCGGCGUGCCUAAUACAUGCAAGUAGAACGCACAGUUUAUACCGUAGCUUGCUACACCAUAAACUGUGAGUUGCGAACGGGUGAGUAACGCGUAGGUAACCUGCCUGGUAGCGGGGGAUAACUCUUGGAAACGAUAGCUAAUACCGCAUAAUAUUCAUUAUUGCAUGAUAAUUGAUUGAAAGAUGCUAUUGCAUCACUACCAGCUGGACCUGCGUUGUAUUAGCUAGUAGGUGAGGUAACGGCUCACCUAGGCGACGAUACAUAGCCGACCUGAGAGGGGGAUAGGCCAAACUGGGACUGAGACACGGCCCAGACUCCUACGGGAGGCAGCAGUAGGGAAUCUUCGGCAAUGGACGAAAGUCUGACCGAGCAACGCCGCGUGAGUGAAGAAGGUUUUCGGAUCGUAAAGCUCUGUUGUAAGAGAAGAACGGGUGUGAGAGUGGAAAGUUCACACUGUGACGGUAUCUUACCAGAAAGGGACGGCUAACUACGUG
rnacentral:rRNA from 1 species